rnacentral:rRNA from 1 species
ACGAACGCUGGCGGUGCGCCUUAUGCAUGCAAGUUGAGCGAAGCUUUUUGGUAGUUUACUACUAGAAAUGACUGAGCGGCGAACGGGUGAGUAACGCGUGAGCAAUCUACCUUAGUUACUGGGAUAGCCCGAGGAAACUCGGAUUAAUACCAGAUAUUCUUAUUUUUUCACAUGAAGUUUUAAGGAAAGGUCAGCCGAACUAAGAUGAGCUCGCGUUCUAUCAGCUAGUUGGUGGGGUAAAAGCCUACCAAGGCAACGACGGAUAGCUGGUCUGAGAGGACGAUCAGCCACACUGGGACUGAGACACGGCCCAGACUCCUACGGGAGGCUGCAGCAGGGAAUAUUGUGCAAUGAGCGAAAGCUUGACACAGCGACACCGCGUGUGGGAUGACGGUUCUAGGAUUGUAAACCACUUUCAGGAGGGAAGAAAAUGACGGUACCUCCACAAGAAGACCCGGCCAACUAUGUGCCAGCAGCCGCGGUAAUACAUAGGGGUCAAGCGUUGUCCGGAUUUAUUGGGCGUAAAGAGCUCGUAGGCGGUUCAACAAGUCGGUCGUAAAAGUUUAGGGCUCAACCCUAAAAUGUCGAUCGAUACUGUUGUGACUAGGGAUACGGUAGAGGUGAAUGGAAUUCCGAGUGUAGCGGUGAAAUGCGUAGAUAUUCGGAGGAACACCAAUUGCGAAGGCAGUUCACUGGACCGUGAUCGACGCUGAGGAGCGAAAGCUAGGGGAGCAAACAGGAUUAGAUACCCUGGUAGUCCUAGCUGUAAACGAUGGAUACUAGAUGUAGGAACUGGAUUGACGGUUUCUGUAUCGUAGCUAACGCGUUAAGUAUCCCGCCUGGGGAGUACGGUCGCAAGACUAAAACUCAAAGGAAUUGACGGGACCCCGCACAAGCGGCGGAGCAUGCGGCUUAAUUCGAUGAUACCCGUAGAACCUUACCUGGACUUGACAUAUAGGGAAAAACUGGAGAAAUCCAGUGUGCGUAAGCGCCCUUUACAGGUGGUGCAUGGCUGUCGUCAGCUCGUGUCGUGAGAUGUUGGGUUAAGUCCCGCAACGAGCGCAACCCCUGUCCUAUGUUGCCAGCAAGUAAUGUUGGGGACUCAUAGGAGACUGCCGGUGAUAAACCGGAGGAAGGUGGGGAUGACGUCAAGUCAUCAUGCCCCUUAUGUCCAGGGCUGCACGCAUGCUACAAUGGCAAGUACAACGAGUCGCAAUACCGCGAGGUGGAGCAAAUCUCUUAAAGCUUGUCUCAGUUCGGAUAGGAGUCUGCAACUCGACUCCUUGAAGUUGGAGUCGCUAGUAAUCGCAAAUCAGCAAAGUUGCGGUGAAUACGUUCUCGGGGUUUGCACUCACCGCCCGUCA